rnacentral:RNase_P_RNA from 1 species
GGAGUCGGCCAGACAGUCGCCGCCGGCAGGGCCACAGGGCCGUGCCGGGGGAGGAAAGUCCGGGCUCCACAGGGCAGGGUGCCAGGUAACGCCUGGGCGGCGCGAGCCGACGGAAAGUGCAGCAGAGAGCAGACCGCCUACGUCUCCCGCGGGAGGCCGGCAAGGGUGAAAGGGUGCGGUAAGAGCGCACCGCGCGCCUGGCAACAGUGCGUGGCACGGUAAACCCCACCCGGAGCAAGACCAAAUAGGAACCCCAUGGCGUGGCCCGCGUCGGGUUCGGGUAGGUCGCUUGAGCGCUGCGGUGACGCAGCGACUAGAUGAAUGGCUGUCCGCGACAGAACCCGGCUUAUCGGCCGACUCCCUCC